GAUGAACGCUGGCGGCGUGCCUAAUACAUGCAAGUCGAGCGAACAGAUGAGGAGCUUGCUCCUCUGACGUUAGCGGCGGACGGGUGAGUAACACGUGGAUAACCUACCUAUAAGACUGGGAUAACUUCGGGAAACCGGAGCUAAUACCGGAUAAUAUAUUGAACCGCAUGGUUCAAUAGUGAAAGACGGUUUUGCUGUCACUUAUAGAUGGAUCCGCGCCGCAUUAGCUAGUCGGUAAGGUAACGGCUUACCAAGGCAACGAUGCGUAGCCGACCUGAGAGGGGGAUCGGCCACACGGGAACUGAGCCACGGUCAAGACGCCUACGGGAGGCACCAGUAGGGAAUCGUCCGCAAUGGGCGAAAGCCUGACGGAGCAACGCCGCGUGAGUGAUGAAGGUCUUCGGAUCGUAAAACUCUGUUAUUAGGGAAGAACAAAUGUGUAAGUAACUAUGCACGUCUUGACGGUACCUAAUCAGAAAGCCACGGCUAACUACGUG
rnacentral:rRNA from 1 species